rnacentral:rRNA from 1 species
GACGAACGCUGGCGGCGUGCUUAACACAUGCCAGUCGAACGGAAAGGCCCUGCUUUUGUGGGGUGCUCGAGUGGCGAACGGGUGAGUAACACGUGAGUAACCUGCCCUUGACUUUGGGAUAACUUCAGGAAACUGGGGCUAAUACCGGAUAGGAGCUCCUGCUGCAUGGUGGGGGUUGGAAAGUUUCGGCGGUUGGGGAUGGACUGGCGGCUUAUCAGCUUGUUGGUGGGGUAGUGGCUUACCAAGGCUUUGACGGGUAGCCGACCUGAGAGGGUGACCGGCCACAUUGGGACUGAGAUACGGCCCAGACGCCUACGGGAGGCAGCAGUGGGGAAUAUUGCACAAUGGGCGGAAGCCUGAUGCAGCAACGCCGCGUGCGGGAUGACGGCCUUCGGGUUGUAAACCGCUUUCGCCUGUGACGAAGCGUGAGUGACGGUAAUGGGUAAAGAAGCACCGGCUAACUACGUG